rnacentral:lncRNA from 1 species
GGAGAUUAUCUAAAUAUGACACCAUGCAUAGCCAUCCAUGGUGUACACAUGAACCAACCUUGUUCGUGUUUCCUUAUUGAUUAUAGGAUCUAGUCAACGGGUGCCCCAUCAAUUUUGUAAUAAGCUUAUUCUUUUUUAUUUUAAACGAAACCUCUUCGAGAAGCUUGGACAGGUUAAUGAAGCAACUGUUUGACUCCUUUUGAAAUGACCAAAGGGUCCUUGCCCUUGUUUAUUUAAAUACCUGCACCUCUUUGGUGGAGGCCCUCUUCGAAUGGAGUCAUCAUCCCAACCUAGCUAAUACUAUCUUUUAUGACCAAGAUGAUGGCUGAUGGCUCCCGGAAGAUGAUGAAAGAGUGUAGGAAAUGAUUUUCCUUUUUCGGGUAAUGGGAGUGAAACCUCCGAUCUGGUCCAGCUACUCCAAACGUUUAUAUUUUUUUCUUUAUCAUUUCUUGUUGUUCUUUACUCUGAACUCCUUUGUAUUCGAGAUAACAAAGAUGUUUGAAUAAUAAUUCUUGGUCUUAUUCUUGAACUUCAUCUUGAACUCCUUUGUAUCAUUUCUCGUUGUACCCUUUAUGUUUUGUUCUGAACUCUAAUUAUAUUUUGCUCUUUCUUUUGAACUUUUGUUUUAUUCUGAAUACUAAUGGGAUUGAAUAAAGUUUUAGCCUUUCUUGGUAUUAUCG